rnacentral:lncRNA from 1 species
GCCACCAAUUGGGGUAUUUGUGGUGAUUGUGAAAAUCCUUCAGAUUACCAAACCUUCAGUAGUAUGGUGUUCCGAAUGUGACGAAGGACUUUGUGAAGAGUGUAAGAAACAUCAUGCGGUUUCCAAGGCAUCAAAAAACCAUGAAACCGUUUCUAUCGCCAAAUACAAAAACUUACCCACCGAAGUCCUGCAAAUCUCUCAGACCUGCAAACUUCAUAAUGAGAAAUACGAGCUGUUUUGUGCAAAACACGAUUGUCCUUGCUGUAAGAAAUGUGUGAAAUCUCACAACGAUUGUAAAGGUUUAACUGACAUAAAUGAACUCAUAAAAAACGUAAAAACUUCAAACGCAUUUAAUGAAAUCGAACAAACCCUGCAGGAAGUCGUCGAGAAUAUUAAACGACUAAGCACAAACAGGAAUGAAAAUUUAAAAUCUAUAGAAAACAAGAAAAGAGAAAUUGAAGCAGCAAUAAAACAAACCAGGAUAAACGUUAAUCAUCACCUUGAUAAACUUCAGGAUGACUUGAUUAAAGAACUAAUGACAGUUGAACAAAGAGAAAAAAGCAAAAUAGAAAAAUUGUUAACUUCUCUAAAAAAGAAGGAAAAAGAGAUCGCUGAAGUACAAGAAAACUUUGCCAGUAUUAAAAAUCAUGCGUCAGAACUUCAAACAUUUUUAACAAUGAAAGAUAUCGAAAAAGAUAUUAUAGGCGAAGAAAAAUUUAUCAAAUCGAUUGCCACAAGUGACUCCACAAAUCAAGUCAAUAUUUCAUGUCAGAUUAACAAGUCUUUGCAACAAAUAACAGCCAGCGUGCAGAAGUUUGGGGAAAUUAAUGUUUGUUCUGAUCCAUGUGAUUUUUCGAUUCACAAACGGAAGGACAGACAAGCCCAGAUUAUGGUCACUCUUCCAACCAGAGAUAUCGAUAACCUGACUCUGACAUUACAGAAACGUAUCAAGACAAAGUUGUCAGAUGUCUCUGGUUGUUCAUUGCUUCCUGGUGAUCGGAUGGUAUUCUCCUCUAUUUGGACAAUAAAUUAACAGUACUAAAGUCUGACGGAUCAAAAGAUUUUGAGAUAAAGAACAUUGGUCGAACGUUUGAUGUGGUAUUUAUUGGUGAUGAUUCUAUUGCUGUAACUUCCGGCAUUUCAAAUCAGAUUAAUAUAAUCGACUUAAAGAAGAAAUCAAAGACGAAAUCAAUAAAAGUUGAUUCAUAUAAUGGUGGAGUAGCAUACAAAGAUGGAUAUUUAAUAUAUUGUGCCACAAGAGAAAGGAAUACAGAUGAUCAGUCUGAAUGACGAAACAAUUACCAAUGUUAACAAUACCAAACUUUCAGGUCUUGCGUACGUUACAACAUUCGGUGACAAAUUGUUCUACACAAAUUCCAAUGACAGCGUAACCUGCUGUGAUUACCAUGGUCACAUACUGUGGACGUUCUGUGAUAAAAGUGUUGUGCGCUCUCUACAAGGUGUCUCUGUAGACAAUGAUGGUAACGUGUAUGUAGUGGGAGGUUAUACUAGCAAUGUGGUUGUUAUCUCUGCUGAUGGACAACACUACAGACAACUCUUAUCAAGUGAAGAUGGACUGAGCUUCCCAUGGGCUCUGCAUUAUGACACAUCUACCAAUGAAUUGUUAGUUGUGAAAUUCAUCCAAUGAAGCCUUUCUGUAUGAUGUUAAAUAAUAAGACAUGAAGGGUGACUUUUUCAACCUUAUUCAACAUUUUCUUGAUCUCGAUUACAAAUAUUAUUUUAAUUGAAUUAUAUAAAUUUUUGUGAUCUAAUUAAGAUCUGUUUAAAAUUAAUUUAUAGUGUUAUUAACUGACAAUUUCUGUAUUGGCCCUGUUAUAGAUUUGAGAUUAGCUGUAUUGGACCCGAGACUCGACGACAUCUUAUCGAGAUUAUACAGAAAAAUUAAACUUCUAAGGAUUCAUUAUUAUUCGUGGGGUACAAGUUUUAGUGAAUUUCGUUGGUAUAGAUAUACCACAAAUUACAGUUAUGAGGCAGCAAUUCAUCUACAAAG